UCCAGCUCCCUGAAUGCAGAAG
rnacentral:miRNA from 1 species